rnacentral:rRNA from 1 species
AUGGAUUAUGAAGUUGCAUGGUUUGACAACUGUGAGAGUGAUACAUGGUCCUUGUUAUGGAUUGAUGACUUUUUGCAGCAGCUAGGUUAUGACAGAGAUUGUUUGAAGCUUGAUGUGUACUGGUGUCAACCUGGAAAGACAUUGGUUGAUGGGCUAAGAAAUUUGACAUGUGAUGCAGAUAUCCUUGCAAUGAUAGCAGCAACUACAGAGCACAAGAACUUGUUAUUGAUUGUAGACCAUGGAGAGAGACUUGACAGUGCUCUCAGAGAUGAUAUUUUACUUGAUGGAGUUCCUGUACUUUCAAAGGUCAUUACUCCAGGAAAAGAAAGCAAGGGAAAAGAGCAAUAUAGCUGUCCCGAGGAGAGAAGUGUGCCAAAUAAGAGGAGGUCUAGGAGGUUAUUUGGGGAAGGUUCAUCCUCAGGUUGUGCUGAUGAAGAAUUGGAGGAACAAGAUGGAGUAAAUGCAGCUGAAUCAGAGACAGAUGAGGAUUUCUAUGAUAGUGACUAUGACAUAGAAGAUGGGGAUGACGAUCUCGACAACUGCUAUGGCAAGUGGAAGAGAUAG